rnacentral:rRNA from 1 species
ACACAUGCAAGUCGAGGGGCAGCAUGGUCUUAGCUUGCUAAGACUGAUGGCGACCGGCGCACGGGUGAGUAACACGUAUCCAACCUGCCGUCUACUCUUGGACAGCCUUCUGAAAGGAAGAUUAAUACAAGAUGGCAUCAUGAGUCCGCAUGUUCACAUGAUUAAAGGUAUUCCGGUAGACGAUGGGGAUGCGUUCCAUUAGAUAGUAGGCGGGGUAACGGCCCACCUAGUCUUCGAUGGAUAGGGGUUCUGAGAGGAAGGUCCCCCACAUUGGAACUGAGACACGGUCCAAACUCCUACGGGAGGCAGCAGUGAGGAAUAUUGGUCAAUGGGCGAGAGCCUGAACCAGCCAAGUAGCGUGAAGGAUGACUGCCCUAUGGGUUGUAAACUUCUUUUAUAAAGGAAUAAAGUCGGGUAUGCAUACCCGUUUGCAUGUACUUUAUGAAUAAGGAUCGGCUAACUCCGUGCCAGCAGCCGCGGUAAUACGGAGGAUCCGAGCGUUAUCCGGAUUUAUUGGGUUUAAAGGGAGCGUAGAUGGAUGUUUAAGUCAGUUGUGAAAGUUUGCGGCUCAACCGUAAAAUUGCAGUUGAUACUGGAUAUCUUGAGUGCAGUUGAGGCAGGCGGAAUUCGUGGUGUAGCGGUGAAAUGCUUAGAUAUCACGAAGAACUCCGAUUGCGAAGGCAGCCUGCUAAGCUGCAACUGACAUUGAGGCUCGAAAGUGUGGGUAUCAAACAGGAUUAGAUACCCUGGUAGUCCACACGGUAAACGAUGAAUACUCGCUGUUUGCGAUAUACGGCAAGCGGCCAAGCGAAAGCGUUAAGUAUUCCACCUGGGGAGUACGCCGGCAACGGUGAAACUCAAAGGAAUUGACGGGGGCCCGCACAAGCGGAGGAACAUGUGGUUUAAUUCGAUGAUACGCGAGGAACCUUACCCGGGCUUAAAUUGCAGAUGAAUUACGGUGAAAGCCGUAAGCCGCAAGGCAUCUGUGAAGGUGCUGCAUGGUUGUCGUCAGCUCGUGCCGUGAGGUGUCGGCUUAAGUGCCAUAACGAGCGCAACCCUUGUUGUCAGUUACUAACAGGUUCCGCUGAGGACUCUGACAAGACUGCCAUCGUAAGAUGUGAGGAAGGUGGGGAUGACGUCAAAUCAGCACGGCCCUUACGUCCGGGGCUACACACGUGUUACAAUGGGGGGUACAGAGGGCCGCUACCACGCGAGUGGAUGCCAAUCCCCAAAACCUCUCUCAGUUCGGAUUGGAGUCUGCAACCCGACUCCACGAAGCUGGAUUCGCUAGUAAUCGCGCAUCAGCCACGGCGCGGUGAAUACGUUCCCGGGCCUUGUACACACCGCCCGUCAAGCCAUGGGAGCCGGGGGUACCUGAAGUGCGUAACCGCGAGGAGCGCCCUAGGGUAAAACUGGUGACUGGGGCUAAGU